UUGGGAAUUUUGCACAAUGGGCGAAAGCCUGAUGCAGCAACACUGCGUGAAGGAUGAAGGUUUUCGGAUCGUAAACUUCUUUUAUCUGGGAAUAAUCUUGAAGGUACCAGAUGAAUAAGCACCGGCUAACUACGUGCCAGCAGCCGCGGUAAUACGUAGGGUGCAAACAUUAUCCGGAUUUAUUGGGCGUAAAGAGCUCGUAGGUGGAUUCUUAAGUCGAAUAUUAAAUACUCCGGCUCAACUGGAGGAAUGUAUCCGAAACUGGGAAACUUGAGGUAUGUAGGGGAGGAUGGAACUUACGGUGUAGCAGUGAAAUGCGUAGAUAUCGUAAGGAACGCCAAUGGUGAAGACAGUCCUCUGGACAUUACCUGACACUGAGGAGCGAAAGCGUGGGGAGCGAACGGG
rnacentral:rRNA from 1 species